rnacentral:tRNA from 1 species
GCUGGCGUAGCUCAGGGGUAGAGCAGGGGUUUUGUAAACCUCAGGUCGGGGGUUCAAAUCCCUCCGCCAGCUCCA